rnacentral:lncRNA from 1 species
UCUCUGGCUGUGUUUUCAUUGAAGUUGAACUUGAAUUUAGGAAGGACCAAGACUGCCUCCACUUUUGAUGUUAGAACCGUACAUUGAGAAGCAGUGAACCAAAAAUAGAUUAACCUAGGGUGCUGGGGGUCAAGUGCCCUCCAAGAUAACUGGAGAUGGACAGAUGUUUCAAAACCCAAAUGUUCCCUGAAAAAGUAACAAUUCCAUAUAAACCUGAGAAACUAUUUUCUAGGAGAGACAAGAAAUGUGGACAAGUUGAAGGGAGGGAAGAAGGUAGUGGGGGACCCUUGUGCUGAGGGUUGUAUUUUCUUGGUUCUAUGCAAACUUCUGCUUGUUCCAAACAUCUGAAUGAAGCCCCAGAGUGUCUGUCUGCUGGGUUGGGGUGAGGGAAGGCACUGAGACAGGUCCUCUCAGCAUAGAAAGUGUCGCAGAGGGAGGAAGCCCCUCCUUCACACCCACACAGCCACACCACUUCCUGUCCGCUAUCCUGCCCCGUUUUGCACCAGCCUAGCCUUGAAGCUUGGGGUUUCCAUCACUAAACUGGGGCCCCAAAUUUUGACCCCAAACCUUGGUUAAGAAUGAUGACUCUAACAGACUGGAAAGCAAGAGACUAAAAGCCCCUGUCUUCUUUCCCAUCACUGCUGGGGUCUCCACAAACCCACGUAUAUUUACUGACACCAGGCUGUGGGCUUUGUCCCAGAAAGAGCUAGAAGAAAAGGGGCAGCCCUAACUCUCACUGACAGGCCUUCCCUCCCUCAGUACCCAGGAAGUCCUGUCAGAGUCAUCCCUUGUGCAAGAAGGAGGCUUGUAAGAGAGACCCAGGGAGCAAAAGCAAGAAGGGAGAAUGGAAAGGAGGAAGGAAGGGUAACAGAAAGAGAAGACAGUAGUGGGGACCCUUGUGCUCUGAACCUAAUCAUCCCUUCUCCUGAAGAUGUUAUGCUGAAUCAGGGGUGCUGUGUCGUAGGAAGCCCCUCAGUAAUGAACUUUUCUAGACUGCCCAUCCUGAUGAAAUUGUCCUACCCUAUCUCUCUCGGUGGGGAGACUGGUGUGGUCACCACUGCCAUCACAAACAUCAUCAUCAUUAGCGUGGCCCAUACCAAACAUCUGUACUUAGCAGGUGGUGGUGUGCUUGGUGUGGACACGCUUGACUGGUUCAUACCCUGAAUCCUGGCUGUGUUCAGAAAAGCCUCUGCCCCUUGAGACAGUUCACCAGCACUUUGGGGUGUUCUAGCAUGACCCUUUCUGGUACAAUAUUCUUCAGAAGAUCAGAAAUGUCAUCACAGAUCAGAACUGAAGACUACUAACCCAGAAUUUUGACCACAGCCCUGAGGGAAAGUGCUAGGGAGAGUCCAGUGUUUGCAUCCUGAAAGACCAGGCAUGCUCUUGGAAGUUCCCUGAUUUCCCUGAACAAUCUGCCACCUAAUCUAUCCAUACAUUAUCAAGAUUUCUGGAACAGGUUUUGCAAUUGCCUUGGAUAGGGUCUAUAACCUUCUCUGCUCCGAAUUUGCCUGGUACCAUCUGAUCUUGGGAAGACUAGUUCUUGAGCACUGGAGCACUGGUUGCCUAGAAGCCUAGAAAGCAGGAUCCGAAUUUGUGAGAAUUCACGGAGCUUCAUAGAAGUCUUUCCUCCAGGCCAGUGGCAAGGCAAAAAAGAACCUUCCAGAAUGUCGCAAACCCACAGAAGGCUCAAUUCACCAGGCAGUACUUUUUGAAAUUGAGAAAGCAAGUAAGUUUGAGAAACACCGGUGAUGGCCAGUGUCCUGAGGUUAGAGAAUGGGAAGAACAAGUGAAUGUACUUCACCACAGCUCUUCAACGGUCCCAGCAAAUACGUGAAUGAACUAUUAGUUAAUGUCUAAUAAUCUUUAUUGGCAAUGCCCCAUUCUAAUAAUUAAUUUCUUAGG